CCCAUGGUGAUGGGGUAUCCAACAUGUGUCACUCCCUUGAUGCCUAGCCUUGCCCCUCCUUGAACCUGUCUGGCUGAGCUGGGCUUGGGGCUGGGGUCUGGCUGUCACUCACAGGUACCGGGGCAGCUACUGGAGGACUGUGCGGGCCUGCCUGGGCUGCCCCCUCCGCCGUGGGGCCCUGUUGCUGCUAUCCAGCUAUUUCUACUACUCCCUCCCAAAUGCGGUCAGCGUGCCCUUCACUUGGAUGCUUGCCCUCCUGGGCCUCUCGCAGGCACUGAACAUCCUCCUGGGCCUCAAGGGACUGGCCCCAGCUGAGAUCUCUGCAGUCUGUGAAAAAGGGAAUUUCAACGUGGCCCAUGGGCUGGCAUGGUCAUAUUACAUCGGAUAUCUGCGGCUGAUCCUGCCAGGGAUCCAGGCCCGGAUUCGAACUUACAAUCAGCAUUACAACAACCUGCUAUGGGGUGCAGUGAGCCAGCGGCUGUAUAUUCUCCUCCCAUUGGACUGUGGGGUGCCUGAUAACCUGAGUAUGGCUGAUCCCAACAUUCGCUUCCUGGAUAAACUGCCCCAGCAGACCGCUGACCGUGCUGGCAUCAAGGAUCGGGUUUACAGCAACAGCAUCUAUGAACUUCUGGAGAACGGGCAGCGGGCAGGCACCUGUGUCCUGGAGUACGCCACCCCCUUGCAGACUUUGUUUGCCAUGUCACAAUACGGUCAAGCUGGCUUUAGCCGGGAGGAUAGGCUUGAGCAGGCCAAACUCUUCUGCCGGACACUUGAGGACAUCCUGGCAGAUGCCCCUGAGUGUCGGAACAACUGCCGCCUCAUUGCCUACCAGAACCUGCAGAUGACAGCAGCUUCUCGCUGUCCCAGGAGGUUCUCCGGCACCUGCGGCAGGAGGAAAAGGAAGAGGUUACUGUGGGCAGCUUGAAGACCUCAGCGGUGCCC
rnacentral:sRNA from 1 species